rnacentral:rRNA from 1 species
UCUAAGUAUAACCUGCCAGACAGGGAAACUGCGUACGGCUCAUUACACCAGCCUUAAUUUACUUGACCUUGACAACCUACUUGGAUAACUGUGGUAAUUCUAGAGCUAAUACAUGCACCAAAGCUCCGAUCCUCGCGGAGAGGAGCGCAUUUGUUCGCCACAAAACCAAGCGCCCAUCUGGGCGUCCAGUGCUGAACCAGAACAACUCAGCUGAUCGCACGGUCUUGUACCGGCGACGUGUCUUUCAAGUGUCUGCCUUAUCAACUUUCGAUGGUAGUGUACCUGACUACCAUGGUUGUGACGGGUAACGGAGGAUAAGGGUUCGACUCCGGAGAAGGGGCCUGAGAAAUGGCCACUACGUCUAAGGAUGGCAGCAGGCGCGCAAAUUACCCACUCUCAACGCGAGGAGGUAGUGACGAGAAAUAACGAGACCGUUCUCAUACGAGGCCGGUUAUUGGAAUGGGUA